AAUCCUCAUGAUGAGCUAACAAUAAUGAGGUUCAAAUUCAUCUUUGGCGAGAAUCGAACUUAAGACCUCUCACUUACAAGUGAAAAUGAAUACCACUACAUAGUAGUACUAAGAAAGUUUUUGUUAACCACAUGUAUUGCUUCAAAAAUUUUAUACAACAAUAUUUUACUUAAAAUGAAGGGAAAUGGGAAUAUUUUACUUUAAGUGGAUGAAGAUUGGGUUGGACCACAGUAAUAUGCAACCACUAAGUAAUAUGUUAGAAAUUGAGAUAGAAUACGUAGAUUUUAUGUGUAUUAUUAAAAAAAUGUGUGAAAACAAUGUGAUUAAGUCUAAAAAAUACUUACAAACGCGUAUGUGUUUUGCCUCACCAACAAAGUGGAGCCUUAUGAAUUGAAAAUGGCGGG
rnacentral:lncRNA from 1 species